AUCCAUUUCAAAUUAUGUGCAGGGCAUAGAGAGCCCAAAUCAUGAGCAUCAUUCAACCAAUUGUGAUCAACCAUUGGUUAUCAAACCUAAAGGAAGUGCAAAACUUGAUGAUAAUGCUACCUCCUCUGGUCAACCAUCAGUUAUGUCGCCCGUUCCAUUCAUGCCAGAAAAACGCAUCCUUGAGCUUGUCUUGGACAUAUUGCAAAGGUGAGUACUACUCAAGUGUAUUUUGCACCUUUUGAAGUUUAGGAAUGGUAAAAGGAGAAAAUGAUUUAGGAAGAAAUUUUGCGAUGGUAUAUUUCUUGGAGGAAAUAUUUUGUUGUUUAAACAUUUUUCUUUUGGUAUUAGGCGAGAUACAAAUGAAAUAUUUGCUGAACCAGUUGAUCCCAAAGAGGUUGAGGAUUAUUACGAAAUUAUUAAAGAGCCUAUGGAUUUUGGCACCAUGAGGGCUAAACAUCAUGAAGGAAUGUAUACAAAUCUUGAGCAAUUUGAGCAUGACGUAUUUUUAAUACCAAGAAAUGCGAUGCAUUUUAACUCCACGGGUACCAUUUAUUUCAAAGAGG